rnacentral:rRNA from 1 species
AGAGUUUGAUCCUGGCUCAGGAUGAACGCUAGCGGCAGGCCUAAUACAUGCAAGUCGAACGGCAAGUUGAGUAGCAAUACUUGACCUAGAGUGACGUACGGGUGCGUAACACGUAUGCAACCUACCCAAAACAGGAGUAUAGCUCGGGGAAACUCGAAUUAACCCUCCAUAAGAUAGUAGAAGAGCAUUCUUCAGCUAUUAAAACUCAGGUGGUUUUGGAUGGGCAUGCGUUUGAUUAGCUAGUUGGUAGUGUAACGGACUACCAAGGCGAUGAUCAAUAGGGGAACUGAGAGGUUGAUCCCCCACACUGGCACUGAGAUACGGGCCAGACUCCUACGGGAGGCAGCAGUAGGGAAUAUUGGUCAAUGGAUGCAAGUCUGAACCAGCCAUGCCGCGUGCAGGAAGAAGGCCUUCUGGGUUGUAAACUGCUUUUGUCAGGGGAUAAAAAAUUCCUUGCGAGGAAUAUUGAAGGUACCUGGCGAAUAAGCCACGGCUAACUACGUGCCAGCAGCCGCGGUAAUACGUAGGUGGCGAGCGUUGUCCGGAUUUAUUGGGUUUAAAGGGUGCGUAGGCGGUCCUAUAAGUCAGUGGUGAAAUAUCGCAGCUUAACUGUGAGGGUGCCAUUGAUACUGUAGGACUUGAGUGAAUUUGAGGUAGGCGGAAUUGACGGGCUUACCAAGCUUCAACUGACGCUGAGGCACGAAAGUGUGGGGAUCAAACAGGAUUAGAUACCCUGGUAGUCCACACUGUAAACGUUGAUUACUCGCUGUUGGCGAUACACAGCCAGCGGCUAAGCGCAAGCGAUAAGUAAUCCACCUGGGGAGUACGCCGGCAACGGUGAAACUCAAAGGAAUUGACGG